UAGUUUCCCAUCUCUGAGUGUCAAUGCCCGGCAGAAAUCGUCGAUCAAGUUUGCGACCGUUGAUCAAGUUCCCGCAAUCAUCAAGUGUACAACGUAUCAUCGAGUUACUGCGAUCGCGGGUCCUGUGAAUCAAGUGUUUCUGCCGGGACAUUUGGCUUGCCAUAUAGGAAAACAGUCUAAGAUGGUUGCUAAUGCUCGAAUCAAAUAAGUCAUGAAAAGUGUUCCAGUGGGCGUUAAUUCACGCUGCUCUUUCGGCUUAGCGCAGCAAAGAGUUGUUUCUCCCAGAAUUUGCUGUUGAUCAUCCAAAAAUAUUUUGUUACCAGCGUGAACCAACCUUUCAAUACACACAAGAUCUGCCCCACAUGACGAAGACGUAGAGCCAAUGCGGAGGCGUCCGGCUCCCCAAAUCUGCACAGAUAGUCGAUCGUUUAGAGCAGGACCAGCACCAACAUGGGGAUCCACGUCAGCGAGAACCAAGAAGGACACCAACACCAGAAAAAUCAUCCAUUCGUGUGUCGAAAAAUCAUCCGCAUUCCUUCAAUAAAUAAAAUUAAAAAACCGAAAAAUCCUAAACGAUUGAAUGUUGAAAUUGAAAAUAUUGACAAGAUCAACUUUAUUGCAAACAAAUUUAAACAGGGGAUUCUGGAGAUGCUGACUUAUUUCAAUCAAAUCUCCAGCUGAAAACUGUAUGACUGAUUUAAAAUACAAAAUGCAAUAAUUCUUGAAAAAACAAACA